CCAGGCUCGUCAGGCUUGAAUAUUUCGCGAGUUUUUACUCCGAAUGACAUUGUUAUAAGGUGUGAGUGGGAUAUCCCUGUUUGAAAAAUGUCGCACGUCGUACAAGCUGUCGCGCGGUUUUGGUUUUACCGUUUCGAUAUCGAUUGGUCGAAAGGACGACAAACGUACGACAAACACUCGACAUGCCCGACAUUGUUUUUUCCAUCGAUUUCCCUUCAAUUCGACGUCCCGAUUUUCGUCGACGCAAACAGUUUGACAGUUCUCUUCAGUUGGUCUUGUUUGGACUUGAAUGCAACCGAAUCGAACUAGUUAUUGUUGAUGUUGGGCUUCGGAAGGAUUUUGACCGGUAAGUUGUGCUUCUUUUUCUGUCGGAAAGUUCCGGCCGGAGUGGGCAAGUGGCCAAAUUAUAGUUUCUUAUGUUCCAGAUAUUCAGAAUUCUGUCUUCGUGGCGGUGGAGGAGGAGGACGAGACGCAUGAAUCCGGCGGGCCAGGUCUUCGUGGCGGAAGACAGGACCGGAAGGAACCGAGCUUAUGGAGGAUAUGGUUCAUUCCAAAGGAGGAGGAGGAUGAAUCACCGAAUGUCAAAAGUUCUACCCAAGCUUGUUGAACGGAAGCUGUAACGACCGCAAAAACACCUGCUCCAGAAGUGCGUAAACCGACGUUGUCCCAUACUCCGGUGGCCAUCAAUCCAUGGGACAUAAACGGUGGCGCCGCACCCCGCCGUAUCUGCGGCUAGUCGAGGAGCAAUAGUCCUUCUUGAUCAAGAUGCUGCCCCGCACGCUGGCGUCGGCUCGAAAAGAUGGCUGACAAAAUCCGGACCCGGAAGACAACGCCAAAAAAUUCCGGCCAAGAUGCCGAGCGACGAGGAGAACUGGAAGACCAACCGGAAGACGACACCAAGAUGUACGUGAAGAUCCGCGACACAACAAGUAUAAUGAAAUAAUUGAUUUUUUACUGUGGGGAAAUGUGCAAAUUACAUAAAAAAAUAAAAUAAAUUAAAAAUAAACAAUCAUCCAUUUUUUAACUGCAACAUAACCUAAAAACCUGAAAAAACAGCACACGACAAAGGCACGACAACCUAAAUAACAAAACCGUGCGACGUCGGUCGAAUGUCGUACGACAAUGUCGAACAAUUUCGAUGAUCGAUCGCACGACAAAUACGACAUUUUGGUGCAAAACCGUAUGACAUUCGUGCGAAUGUCGCACGACAUUGUCGUGCGACGUCGUACGAUUGCACGGACGACAAACGACGGACGUCCGACGGACUUUUCAGUCAGGGAUACGCCAACAUUUCAAAAGGCAUGUACAUUUGGACACUUUCAGGAUUAUUCCAUAUUCUGAAAGUGCUCAUAAUAAGCUACCUCUUCACCAAAAAUGAGCAAAAGUUACUUCAGUAAAGUCUGUUUAAUAAUGAUUUGAAAUAAGGUAACAUAAGCAAACUCCCUGGCAUCAGCAGUGCCUGUUUAUAAAGCCCUGUCAAAUAAAAGACUACAUGAGCCGAAAAAACGAAAAAAAAACAUCAUGAAAAAGACGCCACUUCUCCUUCACUUGCAAAAGGCGCCAUGUACAUUCGGCGAAGAGAAACGAAUCAUAACAAAGCUUCCCCUCUAAUGACAGCAGGGUGAUUUCAAAAGAAGUUAUGUUUGUUUUUCUUAAAUAUAAUGGCGGAAAUAAUGUUUUAUUGAAUAUGAAUGAUCAAGUAUCAAUGAAAGCAACGUUUUUCAUCGUUUGUUAUCAUUAGAACAUCUUAUUUUGAUUUUAUAUUAAAGUGGGAAUUGAAAAAUGAUGCUCAACAUUCAAAUGCGUUUUUCUCAAAAAUGCUUUUUAAAAUGUUGGCGUACGUAAUAGUGCAUCACAUCCUUGCUCAGCCUUAACCUUCGGUUCACCAGCGACUUGACCUCGUCCGACAAGGGGACAUCUUGACCCAGUGCCAGCCAGCAAACGAUCUUUCUUAUUUCUGGAUUGUGCUGUGCACCACCCUACCAAUUGGGUACUAAAGCCCUAUGUCAAUUUUUGUGUACAACGGUAAAAAACAACGACAAGACAACACUUUUUCGAUGGAUCAACUAUGGUUCCCUUGGAACGAGCUGUCAAGUAGGAGCUUUUCUGUCAAGAAGGACCGCGAGGUAAAUUUUUCAAAAUUGAUUUAAAAUUCCAUUUUAAACUCCUUGUGGUCGUACAAAAGGUCAUUGUACUUAGAAAAAUAAGCUUUAUCGCUGUAAACAAUAAAAACAGCAAUAAGCUUCAUUUUAGGACCACCAGUGGGUUUUUUUUAAUUGGGUACUGAAGCUAUAUGUAAAUUUUUAUGUACACCGGUAAAAAAUACGAUCAAAAACCAUUUCUGAUCACUUUUUUUUUCAUUUUAAAGCAAAAAAAGGUGCAGGUGGUUAUGUUACACAUGACCAGUAUGACAAAGAACUUUGCUAGAUGAUUGUUGAAAUUUUCGAUUAGAAUGUCCGGUUCAAAUUUCCCCAUGAUUCCCUUAUAAUUACACAAGACAACUCUUUAGUGGUCAAUUUCGUGGCCCUGAAACAGGCUGUUUGAUUUGAAAAGUUUAAAGACAUAAUAUUAACGUCUUAUCGAACUAAGGGGACGGAAAUUGCAAGUGGAGCUGAACUGCCAGGGCUUUAAUUGGUUAAGAAAUGGUUAUUCUAAAUUUCCAGAAACAGAUUCCUGAAGUUUGAUACCCAUCUUGCCCCAACUCUUAUGGUUCGGCAAAUGCACCCCCAUCGGAACAUCCGCGGGGCCUCCGGCCACUCCGGAUUGUGGCCACUACUGCCGAAAUGUCAAAUUUCAUGUCCAGUAUCAAAAUCCAUAAAGUUUGAUACCCAUAUUGCCCCAACUCUUAUGGUUCGGCAAAUGUCCCCCCAUCGGAACAUCCGCGGGGCCUCCGGCCACUCCGGAUUGUGGCCACUACUGCCGAAAUGUCAAAUUUCAUGUGCAGUAUCAAAAACCCUACAGUUUGAUACCCAUAUUGCCCCAACUCUUAUGGUUCGGCAAAUGUCCCCCCAUCGGAACAUCCGCGGGGCCCUCCGGAUUGUGGCCACUACUGCUGAAAUGUCAAAUUUCAUGUUCAGUAUCAAAAACCU